AAAGCAAGCGUGAUGAAUCAAUUAGAUGUUUGAGAUGGAUUUUCCAUUCAAGUGUUAAAACCUUGAGUCAUUUAUAAUUUUUCUGACUUGGAAUUU
rnacentral:snoRNA from 1 species